rnacentral:rRNA from 1 species
GAUCAUGGCUCAGGAUGAACGCUGGCGGCGUGCUUAACACAUGCAAGUCGAACGGGAAACUUUUCAUUGAAGCUUCGGCAGAUUUGGUCUGUUUCUAGUGGCGGACGGGUGAGUAACGCGUGGGUAACCUGCCUUAUACAGGGGGAUAACAACCAGAAAUGGUUGCUAAUACCGCAUAAGCGCACAGGACCGCAUGGUCCGGUGUGAAAAACUCCGGUGGUAUAAGAAUGGACCCGGCCCGGUUGGGUAGUUAAGUCUAG